UACAGAGGUCCCAAGCGUUGUUCGGAUUCACUGGGCGUAAAGGGUGCGUAGGUGGUGAGGUAAGUCGGAUGUGAAAGCUCCGAGCUUAACUCAGAACGGCCAAGUGAUGCUGCAGUGCUAGAGUGUGGAAGGGGCAAUCGGAAUUCUUGGUGUAGCGGUGAAAUGCGUAGAUAUCAAGAGGAACACCUGAGGUGAAGACGGGUUGCUGGGCCAACACUGACGCUGAGGCGCGAAAGCCAGGGGAGCAAACGGG
rnacentral:rRNA from 1 species